rnacentral:tRNA from 1 species
GCGAAUGUAGCUCAGUUGGUAGAGCUCUCGACCGAUAAUCGAGAGGUCCCUGGUUCGAGUCCAGGCGUUCGCA